UAUAUAUGUGUGUAUAUAUAUAUAUGUAUGUAUAUAUGUGUGUAGUGGGAAUCCCCUAAUUUUGGGGACUUAAAAUUUGGAAAAAAGUUUUGUAAGGGAUUAUAAUAUUAUCCAUGUAUAAGAAACUCUCAUAUUUUUUAAACCUAAUUUUUGACA